rnacentral:rRNA from 1 species
UGGGGAAUAUUGGACAAUGGGCGCAAGCCUGAUCCAGCCAUGCCGCGUGUGUGAAGAAGGCCUUUUGGUUGUAAAGCACUUUAAGCGAGGAGGAGGCUACCUGGAUUAAUACUCUAGGAUAGUGGACGUUACUCGCAGAAUAAGCACCGGCUAACUCUGUGCCAGCAGCCGCGGUAAUACAGAGGGUGCGAGCGUUAAUCGGAUUUACUGGGCGUAAAGCGUGCGUAGGCGGCUUCUUAAGUCGGAUGUGAAAUCCCUGAGCUUAACUUAGGAAUUGCAUUCGAUACUGGGAAGCUAGAGUAUGGGAGAGGAUGGUAGAAUUCCAGGUGUAGCGGUGAAAUGCGUAGAGAUCUGGAGGAAUACCGAUGGCGAAGGCAGCCAUCUGGCCUAAUACUGACGCUGAGGUACGAAAGCAUGGGGAGCAAACAGG